CAGGUGCUAAUACCGUAUAACAAUCAAAACCGCAUGGUUUUGAUUUGAAAGGCGCUUUCGGGUGUCGCUGAUGGAUGGACCCGCGGUGCAUUAGCUAGUUGGUGAGGUAACGGCUCACCAAGGCCACGAUGCAUAGCCGACCUGAGAGGGUGAUCGGCCACAUUGGGACUGAGACACGGCCCAAACUCCUACGGGAGGCAGCAGUAGGGAAUCUUCGGCAAUGGACGAAAGUCUGACCGAGCAACGCCGCGUGAGUGAAGAAGGUUUUCGGAUCGUAAAACUCUGUUGUUAGAGAAGAACAAGGAUGAGAGUAACUGUUCAUCCCUUGACGGUAUCUAACCAGAAAGCCACGGCUAACUACGUGCCAGCAGCCGCGGUAAUACGUAGGUGGCAAGCGUUGUCCGGAUUUAUUGGGCGUAAAGCGAGCGCAGGCGGUUUCUUAAGUCUGAUGUGAAAGCCCCCGGCUCAACCGGGGAGGGUCAUUGGAAACUGGGAGACUUGAGUGCAGAAGAGGAGAGUGGAAUUCCAUGUGUAGCGGUGAAAUGCGUAGAUAUAUGGAGGAACACCAGUGGCGAAGGCGGCUCUCUGGUCUGUAACUGACGCUGAGGCUCGAAAGCGUGGGGAGCAAACAGGAUUAGAUACCCUGGUAGUCCACGCCGUAAACGAUGAGUGCUAAGUGUUGGAGGGUUUCCGCCCUUCAGUGCUGCAGCUAACGCAUUAAGCACUCCGCCUGGGGAGUACGACCGCAAGGUUGAAACUCAAAGGAAUUGACGGGGGCCCGCACAAGCGGUGGAGCAUGUGGUUUAAUUCGAAGCAACGCGAAGAACCUUACCAGGUCUUGACAUCCUUUGACCACUCUAGAGAUAGAGCUUCCCCUUCGGGGGCAAAGUGACAGGUGGUGCAUGGUGGUCGUCAGCUCGUGUCGUGAGAUGUUGGGUUAAGUCCCGCAACGAGCGCAACCCUUAUUGUUAGUUGCCAUCAUUCAGUUGGGCACUCUAGCAAGACUGCCGGUGACAAACCGGAGGAAGGUGGGGAUGACGUCAAAUCAUCAUGCCCCUUAUGACCUGGGCUACACACGUGCUACAAUGGGAAGUACAACGAGUUGCGAAGUCGCGAGGCUAAGCUAAUCUCUUAAAGCUUCUCUCAGUUCGGAUUG
rnacentral:rRNA from 1 species